AGGUACAAAACUCAACCACGUUAAGCAACUCAAUAAAAAGCAAAAACCUUGUGGACCAUGAGAUUUUACCUUCGGUUGGGGCGACCACGGAGGAAAGAAAAGCCUCCAGGUGGACUGGGAAAACCUCCUAAAACCAAGAGAGACAUCUCUAAGCCACAGAACAUCUGACCAAAUAUGAUCCGGCUAACACAUAGCCGAUCAACGAACCAAGUUACCCUAGGGAUAACAGCGCAAUCCUCUCCCAGAGUCCAUAUCGACGAGGGGGUUUACGACCUCGAUGUUGGAUCAGGACAUCCUAAUGGUGCAGCCGCUAUUAAG
rnacentral:rRNA from 1 species